AUGAGGACCCUGUUCUUCAGAAUGGUAUUCCACAUCCUGUCUCUCAGCAAGGGAACUUUCAUCCUAAUCAACAUAAUCACUUUGGGCCCUAUUCAGCAACAUGAGCAUGAAGGCCAUCAGGGCAAUAUUGAGCAGCAGCAGCCCCCACAACUUAACCUUCAGCUAGCCCUAAAUUCAAUUGGUAACAAUGGUAGUAACCAAGAUGAUGAGAUGGAGGAUCUCCCUAGGUGGGGUUAUUGGGCCAUGGCACGGGACCCACUCAUUGAUCAGGAACUGCAUCCCGGAGAAUUUCUGGCUCUUAAUGAUUUAAUGGCUCCCAUGGAAGAAGAGUUUCCUCUAGAUGAUGAUGCCAAUGCCAAUAACAUCAUUACUGUGUCAAUGGCACCAUCAAAUAACAAUGCAAAUUCGGCUGCUUCUGCCAAUGGCCCCUUGGCGCCAUACCUACCUGAUUUAAAUAUGCAGUCGAACCAAGUGGAACCUGAGGCCCAUAACAUCAUUGUUCCAGUGGCCCAGUUGGCUGUUGAUGGGCGUCCACUGAAAAAACAUUCAGCCCAUUAUGGACCAGAGCUUGGAGGUUAUUUUUCAUCAGGCUCACACUGCUGA
rnacentral:rRNA from 1 species